CCAUCCCUUCCUGCCCGCUCCGCGAGGCGCUCUCGGCGGGUGUUUCUCGGCCCCCGGGGGCCGCGAGGGCGGCGGUGCCUCGGACUACUUUUUCCUCCCCUCGGAGCGCGGAAGGAUAUUGCAGCAGUGGCGCAGUGACGGCACCGCGCUCCUUCCUCUCGCCCCCCCUCCCGCUCCGCACGGGGUUUCCCACCCCGGCCCUGCUGCGGCGCGGGGGAGGGGAGCGCGGGGCGCCGCGCGGAGGGGUCAGUGCCCGGCGUGGCCGUGUCGUGCGAGCAGCCCGCGCCGGUUGCUUUUAAAGCUCACCCCGUGCAGUCCGAGGAUGGCAGGGCAGAGCGGCUCCCUCGGGUAUCGCGGGUUCGCCUCCCGCUCCCCACGCACAGAAGCGCCGGCGCUGUGCAGGACGGCUUCCCCGUGUCACCUCGCGCCGAGGGGCCGGCAGAGGGGAGAGGGAAGAGCGGCAGCGGGUGCUGCCCGGCCUGCUUUAUGCGGGGGAAAACGGCACCCUGAGGUGGUUCCGCAGAGCCGCCGGGGAUCCUGCCCCUUGCUUUCACGUUUUGGAAAAACGUGUUGGUGGUUUUAAUGCGUCCCUUGGGUUCUACGGUAGGGUGUUCAUGGAUGUUUCUGAUGUAGGCAAAUAAUGCAAGUUGUAAGCCAUCGUUGGUGCCCUCUUUAAUCGGCGCGCGUGAGUCACCUCCGAAACUUGUUUCCAUAGUGAUUCUAUAGGAACAAGAGCAGCGCUUGGAAAACGCGACCCUUUACUUGUCAGGAAUGCUGUGCAGAAUUGUCUAGAACAUCUGCGAGGAGAGGCAGAACGUACCCGUGCUGUGUAGCGUCUGCUGGGGGAACACCUCACAAGUAACAGCACGUGCCAGAAUCCGAGCUGAAUGGUACAACCGCGGGCCCUGCUGAGCUGCCCUGCUGAGCUGCCCUGCUGAGCUGCCCUGCUGAGCUGCCCUGCUGAGCUGCCCUGCGGCUCCCCUGCCUGCCCGUGUGGGCUGGGAGGGCUGCGCUGCUGCCGGGCUGCCGUUCACACAGCAGUGCCUCAGCGCCCUCCUGAACCACGGCCUGCACCUCUACAGUUUUGUAUUCCGCGUUGGUUUAUUUGCAAGAACGCGUGGAAAAGCUUUCUUUUUUAGGACGUUUAGGAACGUCGGCCAUCGUUUUUCAGUCUUCGAAAGCCCCUUUAAAAAACCUGUAGGCUGCCAUCUCAGAAGCAGGUGUAGCGUUGAAAGGUCAGACUUUGCCACUGACAGCACCUGGGACUGAUGCUGGGAUUUGCUGCAUCCUCUGGCUUUGAAGCUUUCUAAGCUUCGUGCUGCCAUCUCCAUUGAAAGUUUGCUCGAGGCCCGUGUUUGUGUUAUCAUCGAGCUGAAGUGAUACCAGAAAGAUAUUAAAUAAUAGCUUUGUCUGUGCUGCUGUCAUUAGGAUCCACAGCCGCAUCUAUAUGUGCACGCUGUGCACUUGGGUAGAUGUCUCCCCAAAAGACAAUCUUGGUGAAUCAUGAGAUCUUUGGUGGGAAUGAACAGAACGACGCAUUUAUUAAUGCGGGGUAACAGAUGGACCAGCUAGUUUAGCAGCUGGGUUUCCAGUCAUUACUCAUACAGAUCAAAGUGAAGAAUGAUAUAUCUAAAGAAAGCAGUAGGAGUUGACGCCUCCUGAAGCUGAGCUCUAGUUGAGCAAUCCCUUGGAAAUUUCAGAAAGCUCCUUUUAGAAAUCUCCUACCAUGACUUGAACGUACCAUGAAGCUGUCACGUACUUCUUGGAAAUCCUGGAAGACCCUGAAGUCUCUUCCUGCACUUGUGCACAAGCACUUCCAGUCUUGUGCUGCAGCUGGUAUCGUGCAUUCAAUAAUUCCCACAGCUAGCAGGGCAGAGAAACAUCGUACACAGUUUAUUCAAGGUGGUGCCCCAGUACAGCUGCCCAGGUUCUCCCAGGAUGCAGUGAUGCAAGCACAGCCAGCACACAGAAGGAAAGAGAAAGAAGCGCGAACCGUAAAGAACUGCUGCCUCAGAGCUGCUGUUGCCAUAGAGCUUCUAAUGAGGAAAAAAACUGCAGCAAGGAUUUCUGCUGCUGCUGAAGGUAAGAUGAGGGCACGCAAAGGCUGUAAGAGGGGGUGGGGAGGCAGAGGGAGGGAGAAGAGGAAGAAAGUCUGCGUCCUUGCUGUCUAAAAAAGGAAAUUCAGUUUCAGUGUACACGAGCAGAAUUGCUGGUGCAGAAGAACAAAGCUAUCUCGGUUGUUUAGGGUAGCAGGAGUGAUGAGCAAGCAAGCGCAUUCCUAUGCUUUCAGGAGGAAAUGCUGCAAAGAAGGGAGGAGAAGCAGAGCUAUCGUUUAGAAAAUACUGCUGCUUCCAGAUACCUGCUUCUUGGCACUGUGCUGGCGUUAGGAUUGUUCCCCAGGGUAAAGACAACUGUGAAAAAAUCAGAGAGAUAAGCAGGAAGUAAAAUUAGUGCUGAAAAUGUUCAGCAUACGCUUACAAAUUCUGUGGCUCUGUAUUAAAAUGUGUUACGUUCAGCAGUACAGUACUGUGAAGCCUUUCAAAAUGCAACUGCAAUUGUGGUUGUUUUUUUACAGUGAAGUUGUUACGAUAAAUUAAUCCUUUAUCAGUCUUUAAUGCUGAAUACAAAACUGAGAUCAGACCUGCUUUCCGUGGAACUUCUUGAACAUGGAAAGCUCUGUGGAAUAAGACUCUCCAUGAUCUCUGCAGAAUUACCCACAAAAUUCUCAUCCCAAAAGCUGUUGUCACUGUUUCUGCGUCUGUUGUGUCACAUAUUGCAGCUUUUUGCUUUUGCUUCCCUGUUCAUUCUCAGUUUCUUGUCAUUUUCUGACAUGACUUAAGCCAUGUGCCCUGCUCAGCAAACCCAGCACACCUGCCAUGUUUUCACAGCAGGACCCUGAAGAGAAUAAAACAGCUUUUAGAGGGUGUACUAAAAGCAAUGAUAACACUGAGUUUCUUAGCUACGCUGAUAGAAGUGUGUUUAUAUUGCUCAACCACCUGCUCAAUGUAUUGAGUAUGCUUGGAGAGAACAGAAUUGUCAGUUUCCUUUGCAAUUUCUUAAUUUGCACUUUAUCACCACUUAUCAAAUGUUUGACUGUUUCUCCUGGAAUUCUGUCUGAAGAUUGGCACAGAGUGAGUUUUUCCAGUAGCAGCCUGAUAGAUUGAUCGAGAAUCAUCAGUACAGGUUAUAAAUAAAAGUGUAUUUGAGAUUCUGAUUGCUGUCAGCCUUACAGUCUCUCACUGACAUGGUUAUUCUGUGAGAUUAUAGCAGUUGUAUAAGCCAUUUCUGAGUUGAGAAUUGCACUGCAAAAGAUCUAUUGAUUAUGAACACAUCAGUUGCUGUUUCAGAGGUACGUCAUGAGGAACAAAUGUGUAAGUGUACUACUUAGGAGUUUGACUCAUUUUGUGAGUCACACUCAUUUUGUCAGUCUCAUGCACAGCAGAUAGGCUAUCUGCAGACUUUGGAACCAUUCUUACCUACAGCAGUCCUCAGUGAAGCCAGUGGUUGAUGACAUCCUAUUAAGAUUUGCAUGGAUUCCUUGAGCUAACACAUGAAGAUGAAGUCUUAAUCCAUGAUUGAGGUAACCCUUGAUGAUACAAGCAUUUAGUUUGAUGUCAGUAGGAGGCUUAGUGAUUUUCUGCUCCAAAGGGUUACUAGUAUCUUGUUGGAGUGAAUAAUUAUGUAUCUGAGUUCCACACACCAUUAGACUGUGCAUUUCAGAGAAGUUCAGUCAGCUUGUGGAUCACAUUACUUGGAGUUCUUCAGAGAUCCCAAACAAUACCUUAGUCAAGUAUGAUUCUAUAUAAUAAACACCCCAUAUGACAAGAGAAGGUGAUGGGAGCUCCUUCAAGCAGGAUACAGGCACUGCAGAGCAGUAACAGGUAAUUAAGAAAGAAAAUUGGCUUUCUACUUCUGCCACCAGAAACAGCUCAAGAGGAAUGCAAUCUUUAUUCAGCUGCUAACCCUUGAAUGAGGGUGAGGAGGAGUGGAUUCCAGCUCCACCCCUUCCAGUCACUUACGUGCACUGCUUGCAUCUGAGCUCCCUGGUGAGCCAUGACUUCUCAUCUGGCAAUUCCACUGCACCCCUUGUAGGGAGUGACUGUCUAAGGAGGAAUGAGUGAUCCUUAAGUAGACUAAAACUUAGUUGGCUUAGAUAAGCACUUGGUGGGAAGUUACUGUUGCACAGUCCUAGAUCAACUUAAUGUAAUUCUACAUCUACAAAAAACAGACAGCUAGAAGCACUCAUGUUGCUAAUUGACAGAUUAUUCUCAGACAGGGGUAAGUAUCUUUUGCAUAACGUACAUAUAUUUAUUUUGUUGCAACUGAUGGUGUCCAAGUACAUAUUUAUUCUGCAAAAGUGAAAACCUACUGUAGUGCUAAUGCAGCAAUGUCUUGGUGUGUGAAGUGGAAUGCAGAUACUUUAUGACCUUCAGAUCAAAACUACUCUGUCUUAAGCUGUGUAAGCUACAACUAUCGUGUCUAUAAGCUUUUGUGGAAGUUUCAGAGGUGUUUUGAUUGUGUAUAUGUGGAAAAGGGAGUUGAUCUAAAUCUAGCCUAAACAAAGGAGUUAUUUAUAAAUCUGUUAAUCUGUCCAUGUGUUUGUAUGGAGCUUCGAAGACAGAGGAGAUCUUGUACUUCAUGCUUAUUUUCCUUCUUCUUCAAUCUGGGUUAUAAUGUGAAAGUGUUUAAGAAAAGAAUGAAGUAUGGCAAAACUUUGCCCAGAACACUCUGCAUUUGGGC